CGAAGAAUGGAUAUUACUGAAAAGGAGCACGAGAAUAAAGAAGUGAUAGAAACACAACAUCAUGAAAGUGAAACAACUCAUUGAGGCAAGCAUUAAGUCCUUUGGUGUUGUGUGUUGGGUAGGGUUGCUGACUCCUCUGGGGUGAGGGAGACUCAUCCUGAGCAGCAUACAGCACCAAGAUAAGGCGAUACAGCUAACCUGCACAACGCCAGGAAACGGAAAAUUAAAUACCGAAGAAACGAUAUUACAGAAAAAGAAUACGAAAAUAAAAAAAAGUCAUGGAAACACAACAUGGACGGACACGCUGAUGACGACCCACGCAACAAGGCCCCCUGACACUCCCUGGACACUCUCUGAACAAUGGACGGACACUCUGAUGACGACCCACGCAACAAGGCCCCUGACACUCCCUGGACACUCUCUGAACAAUGGACGGACACUCUGAUGACGACCCACGCAACAAGGCCCCUGACACUCCCUGGACACUCUCUGAACAAUGGACGGACACUCUGAUGACGACCCACGCAACAAGGCCCCUGACACUCCCUGGACACUCUCUGAUCAAUGGACGGACACUCUGAUGACGACCCACGCAACAAGGCCCCUGACACUCCCUGGACACUCUCUGAACAAUGGACGGACACGCUGAUGACGACCCACGCAACAAGGCCCCUGACACUCCCUGGACACUCUGAACACUGCCCUGACCAUUUGCAACAAAAAAUCUCCUCACGACGUAACCUAAAAAGGACAAAAUCCCCCCCGACAAAAAAAAAAAAAUAGUUAACUUUCCAAACUAUAACGAAAUAGUUGUCACCAACAAGACAUCAAAAUAAAGAAGCCAUAAAAAAGAAAAAGAAAAAAAGCAACAAAGAAAUCAACUCAAGCAGUAGUAAAAAAAAAAAAGACCUAACAAAUCUAAAAA